rnacentral:lncRNA from 1 species
AUGAAUUCCUUAUAUUUCUAAAAAGUAAGAAAUUCCGCAUAUUUUGACCAAUUCAAGGUGAAAAAUGGGGUUGCUCCCUCGGCAAAACUUGGAUAAAGUUGAGCCAAAAGUUCUCGAUUCAAGAUAAAUUCAUGAGGAAGCGGUAUCUCUUUAGGAUCUACUCCAGCGUUUAAAAAUUGGUUAAUCGGUAAAGAUACAUGUACUUGAUGCCCCACCCAAGAGAGAGCCCCGAUGAUAAAUGGGGCUCUAU